rnacentral:rRNA from 1 species
CGGGAAACUGGGGAUAAUACCCGAUAGGAUAGUGAUGCUGGAAUGCGCGAUAUCUGAAAGGGGAGGCGCCGCAGGAGGGGGCGGCGGCCGAUUAGGUAGUUGUUGGGGUAACGGCCCAACAAGCCUGUAAUCGGUACGGGUUGUGGGAGCAAGAGCCCGGAGAUGGAUUCUGAGACAUGAAUCCAGGCCCUACGGGGCGCAGCGGGCGCGAAAACUUUACAAUGCGGGAAACCGUGAUAAGGGAACCCCGAGUGCCCGUAGACUCGGGCUGUUGAUCUGUGUCACAAGCAGGUAAAGAAAGGGCCGGGCAAGACCGGUGCCAGCCGCCGCGGUAACA